GUCCCUAGUGGUGUCAUAUAUACCUAUCCCAUCUAGAUUCAAUGGCUUGGUUGGCACUGGCGAGUGUCAAGGAACUGUGAGUGUUGGGUGCUUGCGAUGUCCUUUCUUGCAGUGAGUGGAGGCGAACUAGUCGCCAGUGCACUAGGCAUGAAAUGAUGUGCUCGAGGAAUUUAGCCAUGUGACGGAUACAACCAGAUGCAGGGGAUAACUACAGAGGGACGUCGCUAGAUCAGUUGUGGAGUUGCUAGGAUUACUGGAAUUGUAAUGGCAGCUUUGGGGAGAGCUGGAGAAACGAUGUCGAUGACGGCGACGGGGUUGAGCAGCUUCGGAGGACAGAAUCUGAUGCGCAUGAUGAACGACAUGGGCAUCUCGAACUCGCUGGUGGCCAUGCUCACGUCGUGCAAUCCUCACGCAGGCUUCCGAGUUUCUAGUUCGGGAGGAGGUCUGGAAGAGGAAGCUACAGGGCGUGGGCAGAAGCGGCCCCACUAUCCCAUAUCCGACAAAGGGCCUGGGGAGGAGCCUGAGGAAGGUGACGAUUGUUGCUACGACGGCGCCCACCCAAUGGAGAAGAAGCGGCGCCUCUCGUUCGAGCAGGUGCGGUCCCUAGAGCGCAACUUCGAAAUGGAAAUCAAGCUCGAGCCCGACAGGAAAAUGAAACUGGCCAAGGAGCUUGGACUGCAACCCCGCCAAAUCGCGGUCUGGUUCCAGAACAGACGUGCACGCUGGAAAACGAAACAGCUGGAGCGCGACUUCGAACUGCUCAACUCUGGGUACAGCAAACUGAAGCGGGACUUUGAGAAGGUGCUCGAGGAGAAAGAUGUCCUCAAGGCCGAGCUCGUGCGUCUCUCAGCCAAGAUUAUCCCCAAAGAUUCCCAAUCCGUAGACUUUUCCCAGAGCGAGAAGGACUCGCAUUGCAAGCCAACGGCAAAUGACCCAGCGAAAUCAGACAAGCUGAAGGAAUCCAAGCCUGCGACUCCCAAGGAUAACCAAAGCACUAGAUCCUCUCCCACCACAGUCGUAUGCUCUGCCACUACGCUUGAGGCAGAGAUAACCUCAACAAGCUCUGGCAGCAACUCCAGCGAUCUGCUCGACGCGGACAGCCCCCGCACUACGGACAGCAACCCCCGCGAGGAGCAGCUGGCAAAUUACUGCGGCCAACUCCUUCCAGAGAACUUUGUGGGACACCUUACAGUUGAGGAGGCUGUGAACACUUCGCAGAAAGUUUAUUCGGUGAAGCUUGAAGAUGGUUGCCAUCACUUCCAAGUAGACGCGACUAGUGGCUAUUUUUUGCCGCCCAUGGCUGAGCAAAGUAUUCUUCCUUGGUGGGAUUGGCCGUAACCGGGGCAUUCAAAUUGUGCCUUUGCGGCAUUUUUUUCCCUUAGAUCUUGGUUAGUUUAAUUUUUUAGUUCUCUCUCUCUCUGGCCCUAUGUGAGGAUCAGGCUGGUUAUGUUCAAUCGAUUCUCGUUACCGAAUACCUCGAGGACCACACACCAGUAGCAUCUAACUGCAAGUGCAUGUCCAGUUUGCUCCAACGACUUGUGUGAUAUAUUUAGUUCAGAUAGAGUUGGUAGAGCUUCAAAGGUAGUGACGAGCAUCCAUGAUUUUUUAGGACUGAUAAGCUGAGGUCUUGCUCAUCCUUCUCAUUUUUUAGCACUUUGUAAAGGCGAAAGCAAAGUGACCUCGGUAGAGGGCGGGCCCUCCAGUGCUUAGGUGCUUAGUUGCUGCAGAUUCCUUCACCAUAAUGAUUUUAAGUAUAAAGAUCUGGUGUUUGCCUGCCUACCUAGCUAGAGUUGGGUAUUGGUAGUGUUGUAUGUUCUAUACGUGAAUUCUGGGAAAGAACUUCGUACUUGAAAAAGAACAGAAUCAAGCUGCCUUUGUUGCUGCCUGUACAAAAUAAAGAAGUGACAUUGAAAAUA